rnacentral:rRNA from 1 species
GUAGCUUACGGGAGGCAGCAGUGAGGAAUAUUGGCCAAUGGGCGGGAGCCUGAACCAGCCAAGCCGCGUGAAGGAAGAAGGCGCCAGGCGUUGUAAACUUCUUUUGUCGGGGAACAAAGGGCGCCACGCGUGGCGUUGUGAGUGUACCCGAAGAAAAAGCAUCGGCUAACUCCGUGCCAGCAGCCGCGGUAAUACGGAGGAUGCGAGCGUUAUCCGGAUUUAUUGGGUUUAAAGGGUGCGUAGGCGGUCCGGAAAGUCAGCGGUAAAGGCCCGGGGCUCAACCCCGGCGCGCCGUUGAAACUGUG